UACAAGAAGUCGAAACCGUUCACUAUAGAUGCGUGCGCCUGCGCUCAGGUAAAUCGGUUGGCGUCUUCAGACUGGUGAGCCAAGACGUCUUAAGCGACUUGGUUCCUGCAAGAGAUGCGCGCCAAGAAAUAGGCAACAGGAAAAGUUGGCAAAAAACUUACGUGCCCACGAACCAAACUUCUUUGGCAACGAAGUUUCCUCGUGAGGUAAGAACCACGGCGCCAAGAGAGAUCUGCACACUUGCAAAAGGCUUAGAAAGGGUUCCAGUAGAAAACAGAAGACGACAAGUGCUCCGAUCCAGGCUAGAACUAGUGUGAGUACUUGAGGGUCCGGCAUUUUCACCU